ACCCCAGCUUAGCAGCAGUAACGCCAUUUUGCAAGGCUGUACUUAAGAUGACUGGUUCAGGGAAAGGUUAGAACACUGAGUACACAGCGGCUGCCAAACAAGAUGUGUUUGGUUGAAGGCCUGGCAACAGGAGGACUGCCGUUGAACACCUGACAAUGAGAAAAGCCCCGGGAGAGGUCCCACACCCUGGUGGGGGGCCGAGUCAGUCGUUAUGUUCCAAGAAGGUAGCUAAGAAACUUGCCCCCGGGCUGAACCCUUGGGGGGCCGAGUCAGUCGUUAUGUUUCAGGAAGGUAGCUAGGAAACUUGCCCCCGGGCUGAAUCCUUGCCACAUUAGAAUCCACCAAUUAUAUCCCUGUAACCAUGCAUCUGCUUCUGUAUGCUUGCUUCUGCUCCCCAAAAUCCUAUAAAAGCCCAUCCUUGGUUCCGUGGGGCGCGCCAGUCCCCCGAGUGACUGAAGCGCCCGCAGGUGCCUGUGCCUGUGUAUCCCAACAAUAAACCAAAUCCUCUUGCUGAUUGCAUCCUGUGGUGUCUCGGUCUGGUCUUUGGAGUUGGAGGGUCUCCAUCCCGAGGGAAAGUUCUCCCUGAGAGCUUUUCAUUUGGUGCGUUGGCCGGGAAAGGAGAUCCUCCACCCAGGGACCACCGACCACCCACUGGGAGGUAAGCCGGCCGGCGUCUGUCUGUCUGUCUGAUUUUGUCUCGUUCUGUCUUAUUCUGUCUGUUCUGUGAGCGCUCAACCGGGUCUGUUCUGUGAGCGCUCAGCCAGGUCUGUUCUGUGAGCGCUCAGCCAGGUCUGUUCUGUGAGCGCUCAGCCAGGUUGUUUGGAAUUUGGGCGGGACGAAGAAGGAGCUGACGAGCUCGGACUUCUCGCCCCGCAGCCCUGGAAGACGUUCCAAGGGUGUUAGGGGCCCGACUUUUCGGGGCCCAAUCUGGGAGAGGAGAAAGAUCCGGACUAACGGCACUCUGUCUGUAUUUUUGGCUUUCAGAGGGCCCCGGACCUUUGCCACCUCCAUCUGACUUUUUGCUUUCAGUUUGGUACCAAAGCCGUGCAGCACGCCUGUCUGUUGUUUGUUUGACUGUUGGUGUUGUUUGUUUUCUCUGUGUUCUAAUCUUCCUUAGAACUAACAUGGGACAGUCCCUAACAACGCCCCUAAGUCUCACUCUUGAUCAUUAGAAAGACGUCCACGACCGGGCACACAACCAGUCCGUCGAGGUUAAAAAAAAAAAAAAGGAAAAGGGCAGACUCUCUACACAUCCGAGUGGCCCACUUUCGGAGCAGGAUGGCCAGUGAAUGACACAUUUAACAGGUUAAAGAUCAGGUCGUCCACGGACAUCCUGACCAGGUUUCUUAUAUUAUCACUUGAGAGAGUCUCGCCUUAACCACCCCCCACCCCCGGGCGGAACCCUUCGUGGACCCGAAUUGGCCUCCCCUCAAUCCCCAGCCUGUCCCCUCGGCCCCGUCCGGUCCGCCGGCCACGUCUUCCUCCCUCUACCUUUGUGAAAUCAGAGCCUUCUAAGAAACCUGUCCUCCCGGCAGACCCAAACUCCCCUCUCAUAAAUCUUCUCUCUGACAGGCCCGGCUGAAACGGAGGAGGCAGAGCCGCCGGCCAGAUCAGUUGCCGGGCCACAGUCUGAUAAGGGUUUCUCCCCUGUCGCAGGGAGAUUGCGCAAUAAGCGCGAGGUGAUGCCAGAUUCAACCUCCCAGGCUUUCCCACUUAGACAGGGAACCGGUGGCCAGACCCAAUACUGGCCGUUUUCAGCAGCUGACAUUUACAAUUGGAAACAACACAACCCUUCUUUCUCCAAAGAUCCGGUGGCACUCACCGACCUAAUAGAAUCUGUUUUACUUACCCACCAGCCUACUUGGGAUGACUGCCAACAGCUCUUACAGGCCCUCUUAACCUCAGAAAAAAAACAAAGAGUGUUCCUAGAGGCCAGAAAGCAUGUUCUGGGAGAUGAUGGGCGUCCCACCCAGCUGCCUGAAAAAAUUGAUGCUGCAUUCCCACUUAAGAGACCAAACUGGGAUUUUAAUACAGCUGAAGCCCUUCUCUGAGGGCCCAUUUACAGGCCCUACAGAUUGUGCAGAGAGACGUCUGGAGACCUUUGGCCGCUGCUUACCAGGACGAGCUUGAGCAUCCGGUGGUGCCACACCCGUUCCAGAUUGGAGACACCGUGUGGGUGCACAGACACCAGACCAAGAAUCUCGAGCCACGGUGGAAAGGACCCUACACCGUCCUCCUGACUACCCCGACCGCCCUAAAGGUAGACGGAGUCGCGGCUUAGAUCCACACAUCACACGUCAAGACAGUCCGGUCUGAGGAAUUGACUAAUUGCAACACUACACCCCAGACAUGGAGAGUUCAGCGCACUCCAAACCCCUUAAAGUUAAAACUCCUACGUGGCUCCUCCUAGUCCUUUUGUGGCCUAGAGUCAGUGGGGGAAUAAGCCCCCACCAGACAGAAAUUUCUUGACCAAGUCGAGUGAAAGAUUUCACUCAAAGUUAACAAAAAAAAAAUGGGGGAAUGAAAGACCCCAGCUUAGCAGCAGUAACGCCAUUUUGCAAGGCUGUACUUAAGAUGACUGGUUCAGGGAAAGGUUAGAACACUGAGUACACAGCGGCUGCCAAACAAGAUGUGUUUGGUUGAAGGCCUGGCAACAGGAGGACUGCCGUUGAACACCUGACAAUGAGAAAAGCCCCGGGAGAGGUCCCACACCCUGGUGGGGGGCCGAGUCAGUCGUUAUGUUCCAAGAAGGUAGCUAAGAAACUUGCCCCCGGGCUGAACCCUUGGGGGGCCGAGUCAGUCGUUAUGUUUCAGGAAGGUAGCUAGGAAACUUGCCCCCGGGCUGAAUCCUUGCCACAUUAGAAUCCACCAAUUAUAUCCCUGUAACCAUGCAUCUGCUUCUGUAUGCUUGCUUCUGCUCCCCAAAAUCCUAUAAAAGCCCAUCCUUGGUUCCGUGGGGCGCGCCAGUCCCCCGAGUGACUGAAGCGCCCGCAGGUGCCUGUGCCUGUGUAUCCCAACAAUAAACCAAAUCCUCUUGCUGAUUGCAUCCUGUGGUGUCUCGGUCUGGUCUUUGGAGUUGGAGGGUCUCCAUCCCGAGGGAAAGUUCUCCCUGAGAGCUUUUCAUUUGGUGCGUUGGCCGGGAAAGGAGAUCCUCCACCCAGGGACCACCGACCACCCACUGGGAGGUAAGCCGGCCGGCGUCUGUCUGUCUGUCUGAUUUUGUCUCGUUCUGUCUUAUUCUGUCUGUUCUGUGAGCGCUCAACCGGGUCUGUUCUGUGAGCGCUCAGCCAGGUCUGUUCUGUGAGCGCUCAGCCAGGUCUGUUCUGUGAGCGCUCAGCCAGGUUGUUUGGAAUUUGGGCGGGACGAAGAAGGAGCUGACGAGCUCGGACUUCUCGCCCCGCAGCCCUGGAAGACGUUCCAAGGGUGUUAGGGGCCCGACUUUUCGGGGCCCAAUCUGGGAGAGGAGAAAGAUCCGGACUAACGGCACUCUGUCUGUAUUUUUGGCUUUCAGAGGGCCCCGGACCUUUGCCACCUCCAUCUGACUUUUUGCUUUCAGUUUGGUACCAAAGCCGUGCAGCACGCCUGUCUGUUGUUUGUUUGACUGUUGGUGUUGUUUGUUUUCUCUGUGUUCUAAUCUUCCUUAGAACUAACAUGGGACAGUCCCUAACAACGCCCCUAAGUCUCACUCUUGAUCAUUAGAAAGACGUCCACGACCGGGCACACAACCAGUCCGUCGAGGUUAAAAAAAAAAAAAAGGAAAAGGGCAGACUCUCUACACAUCCGAGUGGCCCACUUUCGGAGCAGGAUGGCCAGUGAAUGACACAUUUAACAGGUUAAAGAUCAGGUCGUCCACGGACAUCCUGACCAGGUUUCUUAUAUUAUCACUUGAGAGAGUCUCGCCUUAACCACCCCCCACCCCCGGGCGGAACCCUUCGUGGACCCGAAUUGGCCUCCCCUCAAUCCCCAGCCUGUCCCCUCGGCCCCGUCCGGUCCGCCGGCCACGUCUUCCUCCCUCUACCUUUGUGAAAUCAGAGCCUUCUAAGAAACCUGUCCUCCCGGCAGACCCAAACUCCCCUCUCAUAAAUCUUCUCUCUGACAGGCCCGGCUGAAACGGAGGAGGCAGAGCCGCCGGCCAGAUCAGUUGCCGGGCCACAGUCUGAUAAGGGUUUCUCCCCUGUCGCAGGGAGAUUGCGCAAUAAGCGCGAGGUGAUGCCAGAUUCAACCUCCCAGGCUUUCCCACUUAGACAGGGAACCGGUGGCCAGACCCAAUACUGGCCGUUUUCAGCAGCUGACAUUUACAAUUGGAAACAACACAACCCUUCUUUCUCCAAAGAUCCGGUGGCACUCACCGACCUAAUAGAAUCUGUUUUACUUACCCACCAGCCUACUUGGGAUGACUGCCAACAGCUCUUACAGGCCCUCUUAACCUCAGAAAAAAAACAAAGAGUGUUCCUAGAGGCCAGAAAGCAUGUUCUGGGAGAUGAUGGGCGUCCCACCCAGCUGCCUGAAAAAAUUGAUGCUGCAUUCCCACUUAAGAGACCAAACUGGGAUUUUAAUACAGCUGAAGGUAAGGGACACCUACGCCUUUAUCGCCAGUUGCUUCUAGCGGGUCUCCGAGGGGCUAUACGAUGCCCUACUAAUUUGGCUCAGGUAAAACAGGUAUUACAGGAAGCAGGGGAAACUCCCUCCGCCUUUCUAGAGAGACUUAAGGAGGCCUACCGUAUGUACACUCCCUAUGACCCAGAUGACCCAGGACAAAUGACGAGUGUCUCUAUGUCCUUCAUCUGGCAGGCUGCUCCAGAUAUCAGGACUAAGUUACAGAGGUUAGAAAAUUUGCAGGGCUAUACAUUACAGGAUUUACUUAAAGAAGCUGAAAAGAUUUUUAAUAAGAGAGAGAAUUGAGUCGAAUCUUGGCCGCCGUAGUUCAGGGCCAAGAAAGGAAGGGAGAUAGGGGGGAGCUCGAAAGGGGCUGAAGCUGGAUAAAGAUCAAUGUGCCUAUUACAAAGAGAAAGGGCACUGGGCCAGAGAGUGCCCCAAGAAGCCUGGCGGACCCCGAAAGCCUCGACCACGAACCUCCCUCUUGGCUCUAGAUAAAGAUUAGGGAGGUCAGGGCCAGGAGCCCCCCCUGAGCCCAGGGUAACGCUUGAAGUUGGGGGGGGGCAGCCGGUUACUUUCCUGGUAGACACAGGAGCCCAGCAUUCAGUCCUCACCCAAGCUUCAGGACAACUCAGUGACCGGACGGCCUGGGUACAAAGAGCUACUGGUGAGAAACAAUACUGAUGGACUACGGACCGCCGGGUUCAGCUGGCUACCGGUAAGGUGACCCAUUCCUUCUUACAUGUUCCGGACUGCCCGUACCCUCUGCUGGGCCGUGACCUGCUCACCAAACUAAAAGCACAAAUUCAUUUUGAGGAAAAUUCUGGCCCUCUUAGAAGCCCUAUUCUUGCCCAAAAGACUGAGUAUUAUACAUUGUCCAGGACACCAAAAAGGGCACAACCCAGAGGCACGAAGAAACCGGGUGGCCGAUGCCACGGCGCGAGAAGUGGCCAUGAGCAAACAAAUCUUGCCCUUAAAUAGCCCAGACCAACCCACACCCCCACCAGUGGGACAAACCAGUUGGGUUUAUGCCCAUGAGGACAUAGAGCUCCUAGAAAAAAAAAAUGGGGGCCAUCUACCACCCUCAACUAAAACAGUGGGUCUACAAAGGACUUUUAAAUUGAUCUCCUUUUUACAUAAAUUAACCCAUUUGGGGUUUAAGAAGAUGAAAACCUUACUAGAUUGGGAAGAGAUAUCUGUGUUUUUUGAAUCGGGACAAAGCGAUACAAAAGGUGACUGAGAGUUACAAAGUGUGCGCUCAGGUUAACCCGGGAAGGACCAGGAUUGGACAAGGAGUUCGUCCUAGGGGACACCGUCCCGACAUCCAUUGGGAAAUUGAUUUUACUGAAAUUAAACCAGGUAUCCUAGUGUUUGUAGACACCUUCUCAGGAUGGGUCAAAGCCUUCCCCACGAAACACGAGACUACAAAAAUGGUCACCAAGAAGCUCCUCGAGAAAAUCUUUCCCAGGUAUGACAUGCCUCAAGCGUUGGGGUCGGACAACGGGCCCGCUUUCGUCUCCCAAGUAAGUCAGUUGGUGGCCAAAUUGCUGGGGAUUGAUUAAAAAUUACAUUGUGCCUAUAGACCCCAGAGUUCAGGUCAGGUAGAACACAUAAAUAGAACAAUUAAGGAGACUUUAUCCAAACUAACGCUUGCAACUGGCUCAAAGGAUUGGGUGGCCCUCCUUCCCCUAGUUCUAUAUCGGGCCCGGAAUACCCUGGGCCCCCAUGGUCUAACUCCUUUUGAAAUAAUAUAUGGAACACCACCCCCAUUUGUCCAUUUCUUUGAUUCAAACAUUGCUGAUUUUGCUGACAGCCCUUCUCUGAGGGCCCAUUUACAGGCCCUACAGAUUGUGCAGAGAGACGUCUGGAGACCUUUGGCCGCUGCUUACCAGGACGAGCUUGAGCAUCCGGUGGUGCCACACCCGUUCCAGAUUGGAGACACCGUGUGGGUGCACAGACACCAGACCAAGAAUCUCGAGCCACGGUGGAAAGGACCCUACACCGUCCUCCUGACUACCCCGACCGCCCUAAAGGUAGACGGAGUCGCGGCUUAGAUCCACACAUCACACGUCAAGACAGUCCGGUCUGAGGAAUUGACUAAUUGCAACACUACACCCCAGACAUGGAGAGUUCAGCGCACUCCAAACCCCUUAAAGUUAAAACUCCUACGUGGCUCCUCCUAGUCCUUUUGUGGCCUAGAGUCAGUGGGGGAAUAAGCCCCCACCAGACAGAAAUUUCUUGACCAAGUCGAGUGAAAGAUUUCACUCAAAGUUAACAAAAAAAAAAUGGGGGAAUGAAAGACCCCAGCUUAGCAGCAGUAACGCCAUUUUGCAAGGCUGUACUUAAGAUGACUGGUUCAGGGAAAGGUUAGAACACUGAGUACACAGCGGCUGCCAAACAAGAUGUGUUUGGUUGAAGGCCUGGCAACAGGAGGACUGCCGUUGAACACCUGACAAUGAGAAAAGCCCCGGGAGAGGUCCCACACCCUGGUGGGGGGCCGAGUCAGUCGUUAUGUUCCAAGAAGGUAGCUAAGAAACUUGCCCCCGGGCUGAACCCUUGGGGGGCCGAGUCAGUCGUUAUGUUUCAGGAAGGUAGCUAGGAAACUUGCCCCCGGGCUGAAUCCUUGCCACAUUAGAAUCCACCAAUUAUAUCCCUGUAACCAUGCAUCUGCUUCUGUAUGCUUGCUUCUGCUCCCCAAAAUCCUAUAAAAGCCCAUCCUUGGUUCCGUGGGGCGCGCCAGUCCCCCGAGUGACUGAAGCGCCCGCAGGUGCCUGUGCCUGUGUAUCCCAACAAUAAACCAAAUCCUCUUGCUGAUUGCA